GGAUUGUGGCUCAGGGGUAGAGUGCUUGCCUAGCAUGUGUGGAGCACUGGGUUCGAGUCUCAGCACCA
rnacentral:tRNA from 1 species